rnacentral:lncRNA from 1 species
GUAAAGAGCAAAGUGGAGCACCUCCUAAAGUGGAAGAGUUUCUUAGAUGAAGAUGACUCUUGGGAGCCAGAAGAGAACCUGGAUUGUGCGACCUCAUUGCUGAGUUUCUACAGCCACAGAAAAUAGCACCUGAGACAGAUAGAUCAGAAAGAGGCAAGUGCAAAGCUUAUUCUCAUUCUGAAGAUAAGGGAGAGGAGAGCAAACCAGAGAAGAAAGAAGAGUCAGAAAAGCCACGAGGCUUUGCUGGGCUUUGGAGCUGAGCAGAUUAUUGGAGCUACAGACUCCAGUGGAGAGCUCAUGUUCCUGAUGAAAUGGGAAAACUCUGAUGAGGCUGACCUCGUCCCCGUCAAGGAAGCCAAUGUCAAGUGCCCACAGGUUGUCAUAUCCUUCUAUGAGGAAAGGCUGAUGUGGGCAUUCCUACCUCAGGAGGGCAAUGGCAAAAAAAGAUGGCAAGAAU